UGGACACGACGAACAUAGCAAAUGUUCAAAUAAAGAUGAUGAACAGAGUGACAAUAAUGAAAAAAAACAUACAAAUAGUAUGUGGUAUAAAAAAAAUGUUGAUAAACAUGUAAAAAAUAAAAAAAAUAAUAGUAAGCAGAACCAAACAACUUUAGAUAUUGAAAGUAUAAAAUAUGAAAAAAAACAUAAUGAGUCAUUAGAAGAACAGUUAAAAGAAACAUUAAAAUCAAUAACUUUUUUAUCAACAAAAUUAAAUAAUGCUGAAAUAAAAAUAGAAGAAUUAAACAAAGAAUUGGAAAAAGAAAAAAAAAAUAAUGAUAAAAACAACAAAUUAAAUAAUAUACAUAAUAAAGAACUGAAAGAAAAAGAAAAUAAUGUUAAUGAAUUUUUAAAACGUUUAGAAAAAAGGGAUCAUGCUUUGAAUGAAAAGGAAAUAAUUAUUACUGCAAGGGAAAAAAAAGUGAAUGAUAAAGAAAGUUUUCUUAUACAAAAGGAAAAUGAAUUAAACAAUUUGAAAAAAGAUUCUAUGAAUAAGAAUGAAGAAAAGGAACAAUUAUUAAACGAAAUUAUUGAUUUAAAAAAAGGUUUAGAUAAAUUAAAAAAUGAAAUAAAAGAUAAACAAGAAUGUUUAGAAAGUGUUAAUAACGAAGUAAUGUCAAAAGAAAGUGUAUUAGAAGAAUUAAAAGAAUUUAAAAAAAAAAAAAAAGAUACAAUAAAUAAAUUAAAUGAAAAAAUUAAUGAAAAAGAAAAAGAAUAUGAACAGAUAGUGAAUGAUAUUAAAGAAAAGGAAAAUACAGCAAGUAUGUUAGAUAUUACUACUGAUAAAAAAAAAAUAUAUUAUGAUAACAAAAUGAAAGAGCUUGAAGAAAAGGAAAAUAUCCUUACGAAUAAAUUAAAUUUAAUUAAAACACGAGAAGAAAAUAUAGAAACAAAAGAAAAUAAUUUAAUUUGUUUAGAAAAUGAACUUAAUGAUCUUAAAAAAAAAUUAGAAAAAAAUAAUUGUGACACUAUUACAAAUUAUCAAACAGAAAUAAAUAACUUAAACAAUAUAUUAACAGAAAAAGAAACAGAACUAGAAAAUAUAAAAAGUAGGCAGUACAAUGAUGCAGUUAUUGCAUUGGAAAUAGAGCAGCGCCUAUUAAAUAAUGAAAGGGAAAGUAUAUGCGAAAAAAUAAACAAGUUAAAUGAAGAGAGAGAAAAAAUUGGUAUAGAAAUAAAUAAACUAACGGACGAAAGGGGAAACAUGUACGAAGAGAUAAAAAAAUUGACUGACGAAAGGGGAAACAUGUACGAAGAGAUAAAUAAAUUGACGAAUGAUAAGGAAAGUAUGUGCGAAGAGAUAAACAAAUUAACUAACGAUAAGAAAAGUAUUUACAAAGAAAUAAAUAAGUUAACUGACAACAAGGAAAGUAUGUACGAAGAGUUAAACGCUGUAAAUAAUGACAAAGAUUUAUUACAUAAUAAUAUAGAAUUGUUAAAUAAUGAUAUAAAUAAAUUAGAAGAGAAAAAAAAUGCAUUAAAUAUGGAAAUUACUACCCUUACCAAUACAAUUAAUAAUUUAAAAAAAAUUGAUAUUACAUAUAAUAAUGUUGUACCAGAAUUAAAAAAUGAAGAAAAGGCAAAAAGUGAUGAAAUGAAGGAAAAAAAACAAUUACUACUAGAAAAAAACAGUAAAUAUCAGAAUUUAGAUUUAUUAAAUGAAAAUUCACAAGUAGUAAUAGAAAAUUAUUAUAAUGGCAACACAGAAGAGCACAAUUACUCAAAUGGUUUUGUAACAAAAGUAGAUGAUCGUUAUUACAAAAAUGAAUUAAAUAAUUUAAAAGUUGCAUUAGACUUAAAAGAAAAAAAGUAUAAACAAAUGAAAGAGGAUUAUGAUACAAAAUUAGAAGAACUAAAAAAAGAAAUAGAAAAAAAAGAAAACUAUUAUGAUAAUGAGUUAAAUGAUAUUUAUAAAAAAAUAAAUGAAAAGGAAAAAAUGUUUCAACAUGAAAAAGAAAAAUUAGAAUUAGAAAAAUUACAAAAAGAAGAAACAUUGAUUAAACAUGUUACUGAAAAAAAAGAGUUAUUAAAAUGUAUUUUUAAUAAAUUAAAUAUUUUAUAUGAUGAGGAUAUGAAGAUGGAGGAUUUUAAAGAAUUAGUGAAUAAGCAUAUUAGUAUUAACGGUGUUAGUGGUGUUGGUGGUGAUGUUAGUGGUGGUGUUAGUGGUGUUAACCGUGAUAGUGGUGAUAGUAAUAGCAAGAGCGAUAACAUUAAUGAAAAUAAUUUAUUUAUUGAUGAUAAUUGUGUAAAUGUAUCAAACAUACAAGAUACAUAUUGUGAAGAGAAAAAACAGCAUAGAAUAAAAAAUGAAGAACAAACAAAAAAAAAAACGAAGUUAUUUAAAGAAGUAUUAGUAACAGAAAAAGAAGAUGAAGAAAGAAAAAAAAGAAAAAUAAUGUUGCAAAAAGAAUUAGUUUUAAAAAAACAACAAUAUAACGAAUGUAAUAAAAAAAAUCAUGAGCUAGAAAUUAAGAUUAAUACGACAAACGCUUAUAUUAAUUUUUAUGAAAAAACCUAUUCAGGUAGUAAAGUUAAUUUAUAUAUACAAAAACUUGAAAAAAUUUGUUUAUCAAUAGAAGAUACAAAUAGUAUAGCAUGUGUAGAAGAAGAAUUAAAAGAGGGUAUGGUUGAUAAUAAAAUUGUAAAAAAACAAAUGGAAUAUAAUUGUGGUAUUAGUGAUGGUACGACUGCAGAUAUUGCAACUAUUAAUAUGACUAAUACUAAUGCAACUACUGCUAAUGAAAGUAUUAUUACUGGAUCUUAUGCUAAUGCCACUACUACUACUACUACUACUACUACUACUACAGGUGAUAGUAUGUGUAAUAAUAAUAGCAAACAACCCCAUGAAUUUUCACAUCCAAAAGAGCCUAUAUUUGAAGUAUAUAAUGAAGUUUUAUCAGACUCAGAUAAAGAUAGUUUGUUACUUUCUGAUAAAGAAAGAAUGGAUGAAUUUGCUGAAGAACAUAUAACAAAUGAUUUAUGUGUAGAAAAAAAAAAAAACUUUAAAACAUUUUUUGCGUUACAACUACGUAAAAUAAAAGGGAAAAAGAAAUUAGGAAAUAAGAGUCAAAGUAAAAUUUCAAAUAAUAACCAUGUUAGUAAUAUGAAUAAUAUGAGUAACAAUAAUAUGACUAGUAAUAAUGCAUUUGGUAAUAACACAAUAAAUAACAAUACAAUGAGCAACAACACUAUAAGUAACAACACUAUGAGUAACAAUACUAUGAGUAACAACACUAUGAGUAACAACACUAUGAGCAAUCAAACGAAUAGUUGUGAUAAAUCAUUAUCAAAUGAUACUUAUAAAAAUUCAAAAAAUAGUUCAAUAGAAACACAUGAAAUUGCUAAGUAUAAAAAAGCAUUAAUCAAAAAAAACAAUCUGGUUGAUGAAUUAAAAAAUCGAAUACAUACAUUGACAAAUGAAAUAACAAAUUUGAAAAAUAUUAAAAAUGAGAUAAAAGAAAAAAAUUAUAAUUUGAAACGUAAACAAACACAAACAAAAUAUAUAAAAAAGAAGUUAGUACAAACAGUAGCAAAAGAAAAAGAAAAAAUAAAAGAAAAAAUAAAUCAUUUAAAAAAUGAAUUAGUAAAAUUUAAUGAAGAUCUUGUAACGUUACAAAAAAAAAGAAAUAUAUUAAAAGAAAAUAUAGAAAAUACAACAGAGCAAUUAAUAAAAUUAGAAAAAGAAGAAGAGAUAAGUAUUAAAUUUAGACAAGAUAUGGAAAAUAUAAAAAAAGAAUUAUUAUCAAAUGAAAAUAAAUAUAUGUUAAAAAUAAAUGAACAUAGUAAUAUGAUACAAAAUUUGAAAAAUGUAAUUAUUGAAAAUGAGAAUAAUAUAAAAAUUUUAACAAAUGAAAAAAAUCAGUAUAUAAACGAAUUAAAUUUAAUAAAAAAUAAAUAUAAUGCUUUAGAAUUAGAAGCAAUCGAAUUAACAAAUAAACAUAAAAUUAUGUAUGUGAAUAAUGAGAAAAUUUCUAACUGUGUUGACAGUGCAAAUGAAAAUUCCAUUACAGAAACAACAAAUUUUAAAAACCAUAGUAAUAACAAACAGGAUGUUAAUAAAUAUAUAAUAGAAAUAAAUGAUUUAAAAAAUGAAAUAAAUAAAUUGAGUUUGUUAUAUAGCAAUGAAAUUAAUGAUAAAAAUAAAUAUGAUAUAAAAGUUAACGAAUUAAUAAAUAGGUUAAAAGAAUAUGAAAAAAUGGAUCGAACUAAUAAAGAAAGAAUAGCCGAGCUUAUUAAAGCGAAUGAAAAAUUAAAAAUUAAAGAUAAGUUAGGAAGAAAAAAAGAACAUAAUACAUUGGGAAGGAGUAAAUCAGUAAUGAAUGAUUUAAUAAUGAAUGAUUUAAUGAUGAUUGACACAACAAUAAAUGACUCAACAAUGAAUGAUUCAACAUUGAACGAUACAACGAUAAACAUAUUAUCGUCAAAUGAAAUGUCGUACAUACCUGCAUCGGGAUUAAUAUCACACGAAGGUGGUAAUAUCUAUGCCAGCGAGUUAAUAUAUAAUAAUAAUAAUAAUAAUAAUAAUAAUAAUAAUAAUAAUAAUAAUNNNNNNNNNNAA
ensembl:lncRNA